rnacentral:lncRNA from 1 species
GCAUAAAGGACUUAUGAAACACCAUCAAGCAGGUCACUAGAUGCAGUAUAAGCAUUCAAGAAGAAGGAGGGACAGAGAAAGGAAGAAAUAUUGGCUAAAACCUUCACAAAUUUAAGAAAAGGCAUGGCCCUGUAAAUCCAAGGGCUCAGUGAAGUGCAUGUUAAACCCUAAGAAACUCAUAUACCAAGACACAUUAUUAUCAAAGCGUCAAAAGACAAAGAGGAAAUCCAAAAGUAGCAAAAGAAAAGCAACUCAUUACAUACAAAGGACUCCUAAUAAGUUUAUCAGUGGAUUUCUCCAAUAGUCAGAAGAAAUCUUGCAAGCCAGAGACAAUGGGACAAUGUAUUUGAUGUGCUGGAAGAAAAACUGUCAACUGAGAAUUCUGUACCUGGCAAAACUGUCUUUCAAAAAUGAGGAAGAAAUUAAAACAUUGUCAGAUAUACAAAAGUGGAGGGAGUUCAUGACCAUUUUAUCUUUCCUAUAAGAAAUUAUAAAGGAAACCUGUUAGGUAGAAAUAUGACAGGGUGCUAGGCAGUAACAUGAAAUAAAAAUGUAAAGUUGUCCAGUAAAAGUAAUAAUUAUAUGGACAAAUAUAAAAAUCAG